CGGUAACGGGCCUUCGGGUGCCGACGAGUGGCGAACGGGUGAGUAAUGCAUCGGAACGUACCUUUCAGUGGGGGAUAACGUAGCGAAAGUUACGCUAAUACCGCAUAUUCUGUGCGCAGGAAAGCAGGGGAUCGCAAGACCUUGCGCUGAUUGAGCGGCCGAUGUCAGAUUAGCUAGUUGGUGAGGUAAAGGCUCACCAAGGCGACGAUCUGUAGCGGGUCUGAGAGGAUGAUCCGCCACACUGGAACUGAGACACGGUCCAGACUCCUACGGGAGGCAGCAGUGGGGAAUUUUGGACAAUGGGGGCAACCCUGAUCCAGCCAUGCCGCGUGAGUGAAGAAGGCCUUCGGGUUGUAAAGCUCUUUCGGCCGGGAAGAAAUCGCAUGGGCCAAUACCCUGUGCGGAUGACGGUACCGGCAUAAGAAGCACCGGCUAACUACGUGCCAGCAGCCGCGGUAAUACGUAGGGUGCGAGCGUUAAUCGGAAUUACUGGGCGUAAAGCGUGCGCAGGCGGUUUUGUAAGACAGGCGUGAAAUCCCCGGGCUCAACCUGGGAACUGCGCUUGUGACUGCAAGGCUAGAGUACGGCAGAGGGGGGUGGAAUUCCACGUGUAGCAGUGAAAUGCGUAGAGAUGUGGAGGAACACCAAUGGCGAAGGCAGCCCCCUGGGUCGAUACUGACGCUCAUGCACG
rnacentral:rRNA from 1 species